rnacentral:rRNA from 1 species
CACGUAGGGGGCGAGCGUUGUCCGGAUUUAUUGGGCGUAAAGAGCUCGUAGGCGGCUCGGUAAGUCGGGUGUGAAACCUCCAGGCUCAACCUGGAGACGCCACCUGAUACUGCUGUGGCUAGAGUCCGGUAGGGGAGUGUGGAACUCCUGGUGUAGCGGUGAAAUGCGUAGAUAUCGUGAGGAACACCAGAGGCGAAGGCGGUUACCUGGACAGUUACUGACGCUCAGGCACGAAAGCAUGGGGAGCAAAAGGG